UUCGUAGGUGGUGCGGCAAGUCGGAAGUGAAAUCUCUGGGCUUAACUCAGAGGCUGCUUUCGAAACUGCCGCGCUCGAGUGCGAGAGAGGUCAGUGGAAUUGCAGGUGUAGCGGUGAAAUGCGUAGAUAUCUGCAGGAACACCCGUGGCGAAGGCGGCUGACUGGAUCGCAACUGACACUGAGGAACGAAAGCUAGGGGAGCAAACAGGAUUAGAUACCCUGGUAGUCCUAGCCCUAAACCAUCGGAACUUGGGGUGGCCCGCGUAGGCGGGUCGUCCCGUAGCUAACGCGUUAAGUUCCGCGCCUGGGGAGUACGGUCGCAAGACUGAA
rnacentral:rRNA from 1 species